ensembl:lncRNA
CAUCAUCUGCUUCCCAGAUUUCCUCAACCGACUCUUCCAAGAGUCUCAGCCGGACUCUCUUGCACUUUCCCAGAGCUACAUCCAGCCCCAAAUUGAAACCACCCCAUCCUUCAUCUCUCAAAGUGGACAAAACAGAGCGGAAUAGAAGAAUCACGAGCAAAGAGGGACUGCUGUCGACUUCUUCUCCAAAAGAUAAAAUGAUUGACACAUUGGUGGAGAGCAACCUGCAACUGGGGACGAAAGCAGCAAUGGGGGAGAGUCCUCAGGAGCAAGAGAUAAAGAGCGGGAACGAGAGAGAAGCAGAGAUGCUAAGAAAAAAAAUAAAAGACACCGUCCUUCAGGGACACAGUCUUGGAGGAAGUGACGCUAUCUCAAACUUGAAAGGUUGCAAAGAAAUGUCCUCUCUGUCAUUGUAUCGUGCCGAAAAGCUGAAAGAGCCAGAAGACAAGACUGACGCAUAUGUCACGACUCAAGAGAGACACGCAGGAAAGAGUCAGAGGCUCUGGGAAAAGAAGGGAAGGGAGGAAGCAGAGAGCGAGGAGAGGAGGAACACAGGAGAGAGUAAGGGGGAAGCUGAGGUUAAGAAUGUCAAAAUGGCGACUGAGCUCAAGAAGGAUACUGUAAUGAAUGAAAAGAAUAUGAUUCCGACACCCAAGAACUUGAAGGAUGCAGUGACAAUGACAGUUGAAGGUUUCCCGGUGACCGAGAUGAAGGAUGCAGCAAUGCAGGUGGAUCUGAAACUGGUGUACGUUGAUGUCGAGGUCCAGGCGGUUGUGGAGGUCUGCAGCAGAUCCACAGUCAUGAGCCCAGUCCACAACGUUCAACAUUGUCAGUUGAACCAUGAGAUUGACCUCAACUCUAAAGCUGGCCUUCACAAUGAGCUCAACCUUGACAGCAACUCGGACUCUGAUUGGUUGCAGACUGUUGCUUUACCGGACCCCAAACCAACAGGAGCCAAGCCUAGAUUUCUAGGUCCACCCCCAUACAAGUCUCCCAAUAGCCAGAAACCACUUCAACACAUCUGUCAAAUAGAGAUUGAGCUUCGUAGCCAGUUUCCACAACAUCUCGGUUCGGUCCCCCCUCAAGUAACCAUCAGUGAAUUUGACUCAACUUGUCAAGUGUUGCCGGAGGUGGCGGAGAAGACCUCUGGGGACUCCUUGAAGCCACUCAACUCUGGGGGAACAGCAGGGGUGGAAGGAGAAAAGGAGGAGAGCUGUGCACCUCAGGAGAUCGUCUGGGA